GGAGGGUGCGAGCGUUGUUCGGAAUUAUUGGGCGUAAAGCGCGUGUAGGCGGCUCCUUAAGUCUGAUGUGAAAGCCCCGGGCUCAACCUGGGAAGUGCAUUGGAAACUGGGGAACUUGAAUACGGGAGAGGGUAGUGGAAUUCCUGGUGUAGGAGUGAAAUCCGUAGAUAUCAGGAGGAACACCGGUGGCGAAGGCGGCUACCUGGACCGAUAUUGACGCUGAGACGCGAAAGCGUGGGGAGCAAACAGGAUUAGAUACCCUGGUAGUCCACGCCGUAAACGAUGAGAACUAGGUGUUGCGGGUAUUGACCCCUGCAGUGCCGCAGCUAACGCAUCAAGUUCUCCGCCUGGGAAGUACGGUCGCAAGACAUA
rnacentral:rRNA from 1 species